UACAAUAAUGUUCUCAUACAAAUCUUAUCAUAUCAUGAUUGAUGGCAUUGAGGUCUUCUUUUGGUGUAUUUUGGGGUGACAUUUGCGGAAGCUUAUGGUUGUUGAUGGAACAAGGCCUUCCUAGGAAGUGUGGGUGCCUUGAAGGUGCAUGAAGAGUGUGAGAUUAGGGAGGUUCGACCAGCCCCUUUGAAGGUGUAAGGAUUGAAGACUAAAACCUAGAUGCUAGGCAAGGAGUAGAGAUUAUGGCUCAAGUUUGGCAGCAUAACAAUACUCAAUUUAAUCUUCAAAUACAUGAGGUUGGCUCCUCCUUUUAUAGGCUAAGGAGGACUUGAAAUGAUGACCUAAAUGAUGAGCAAAUGCAAACCAAAUGAAAUGCAAAAGAGUAGCACAUGGAGGCACAUGGAGCACAUGGCACAUGGGUACACAUGGCCUCCUAACUUGCACAUGGACGUCCUAGAUUAGUGGAGAGCUUCUAGAAACUGUAGCUAAUCUAGGUUAACUCCUCCUUAAUCCUAAUUUGCAGAAUUUAAUCAAAGUUUCAUAAGGCUAUGCUAUUUACACCACAAUUAAGACUAAGCUACACAUGAUGGGCUUCUUGGGCAUGUUUCCCUUUUAUUCGUAACGCCCUUGCUCUUGGCCUAGACGCUCCUUUUGUGUUGCCUUCAUGCAAUGGUUGUCCUAGACGCUCUUGUGGGUGCCCUUUAUGAAAGGUGGUGUUGGGGCCUCUUCCAUCAUCCCCUCCCUCUUGAAAAUGAUUUGUCCUCAAAUCUAUUGCUUCUUCUUCUUCAUGGCUAGGGGGAUGGAUGUGUAUGGUUGGAUGGUGUCCAUCAUCUCCUCCUUCUUGAUAAAAUCUAUCCUCAGAUCCACAGUGGUGAUCUCGGAUAACAGUCUCUUGCUUUUUCAACUAUGCUUGUCCUCCCGGAUCAAACUUCCAUCUAGGGGAAUUAUCAAAUAAAGAAAAUGAGUUAGUUGAAGUAGUUAUAUAAAAAUCAAUUUUAUGAAGUUGCCAUUUUUGUUUUUCUUUUGUUUUUGGCAACUUUUUACAAUAUUUCUCUUUUGAUCGUUGUAUGUGUUCUCUAAUCCUUUUUUUAAAAUUUUCAAUCUUUGUUACUUUUUCCGUAGGCACAAGUCCUUUAGAAAAUGGUAACAACUUAAAAGGAGAAAUAGAAUUAAGUCCACAUACAAUUUCAAAUGUAGAAAUAUUAGUAGUCUUGUGGACUACUUUAUUAUAUGCAUGCUCAUCUCUAGAGUUGUGUGUGUACUUCAUGAUUACUCUAGGUAUAGUAGAAAGAACUAUGUUUUCAAUUUCAGUGUGACCAUUCUUUUGAGGAUGAUAAGAAUUUGAAGAGUACAACUUAGUUCCAAGUUUUUCUAAAAGUAUCCUCAAAAAAUGGUUGUCAAAGUUUGGAGCUCUUUUCAAUACUAUGCUUAGAGGUAAACUAUGAAGUUUCAUUACUUCUCUAGAGAAGAGCUUAUCCAUAAAAAUGGAAUCAAUACCUUUUGUGGUCCAAGGAAGCUCUAAUAUAAAAUCUAGCUUUAUAUCUUCCCAUGGAUCAUUUGCAAAAGGUAAAGGAGUAUAGAGUUCAUGAGCCAUCGCCUUAGAUGUAUUUUUAAAACAAGGAAUGUAUCUAGGGUAAUGUGUUUGAACAUCUUUUCUCAUGGGUGACAAGAGUUUUCCUUUUAAAAGCUCUAGAGUUUUAUCAACUCUAAUUUGGCCCAUGAGUUCUCCUUCAUGAAGAAAUUUUCUCUUAUGUGUAAAGGUAGUCUUGUUGUUACAACCAUUGUUUAUGAGAAUUUGUACAUUUUGCAAUGGUUGUCUCAAUAAGACAUGACAAGUUUCUUUAGGCACUAGCUCACAUAAAAACUUGUCUUUGUAGAUGCCUAUAGAUAACUUGUCCUUCACUUGGUGAUAUCUUAACACAUAUGAGAAAUAAUCUACUUCAUCUCUAUCUAUGCAAGCCUCUUUCAAGGACUCUUCUUUUUUUGACUAGGCUUGCAAGUGUUCCUUUACAAAAGGUAAGGCUAGGUUGUUCAACAAGAAGCAUAUUUUCAAAGGUAUUUUCAACUUUUACUUCUUGUUGAAUGACCUUGUGGGAAAGAACACUCUUUUCCCACACCUUUUGUUCUUCAAGGGUUUUCUCUUGAUUUUCUAUUUUUAAUAUGCUUGUAAGGGGUGUUAUAAGGUAUUCCUCAUUCUUUCUAGAUUCACACCACCCCUCACUUGGCUUUUCUUUUUCUUUUUCUUUAGCUUCCCUUUCGUCUUCCUCUCUUUUCUUUUGUAUCUUUCUUUCCUUCUUUACUUUAUGGGAAGCAAACAAUUUUUCUACCCUCAUUUCCCAAUCUAAGCAAGCUUCUAUAUUUUCUUUUCCAUGGAAGUGUACCCUAGCCUCUCUUGGGCUUUCUUGUUCUCUUCUAUCUCUUCUAUGUCUUCUAGGGGGUGCUUGAUAAUAAUCAUUUAUUCUAAGGCUUCCCUCCCCAAAAGAAUCAUGAUCUUUAGAGAUAGAUGCAUGAGAAGGUAAUUUUUUUGAAAUGUGAGACUUCUCAUCCUUUGCUUUAGUCAAUUCAUUAGUUUUGGUCUCAUUCUCCAAUUGUUUAGAUGAAAUUGAUUGAAUAUCCUUGGAAAGUUGUUUUAAAAGAGAUUUCAAGGAUUUCACAUCACUUUUAAGAGAUUUUGAGGAGUGAGAAGACAUGACUAAAGCUUUGUAUAUAGAAAUGUUUUACUUUAAGAAAGAUGAGGAAAGCUAAUGAAGGUAGUUUUCCAUGUAAGAGAGGUGAGUCACAAUGGACUACUUAAAUACCAAGUCUUGCCUUAGCCAAAAACACUUCACACAAAUCUUUCUUUAGGUAAAUCACUUAAAACACAAUGAGAAUGGGAAAAUCAAAUUUUAUGCAACAAAAACAAUGCAAGCUAUCUAACAACUAAAGCAAUUUAUCAAAGCUUUAAACAAGACCAAACAAAAGCAAUUAAGCAAAGUUAAACAAAAGCAAUUGGCGUAAUUAAAGCAAUUAACAAAUGCUAAGCUUGAAAGUUUAAGCUAGUCGGCCCUAGGUGAGGCUUCUUGGACACUUGGAGCCCUUGAAGACACAUUCACCGUCUAAUUGCGUGAUUAACAAGUAAUUAACAAGAGUUAAAUUGCAAAUAAAUUAAAUGACACUCCCUUUGUUGUUUUUCUAAUUGCACUCCCUUUGUUGUUUCUUCUUUGUUGGGCCUUCCAAGGUGUGUGGUGUAUUUAGUAUGUGUUUGUUGCUGCCCCUUGCCUUUGAUCCUCUUGGAAUUAGGUAAUUAAAUUCUUCAAUCCAGCACCUAUUAAGCAAAGCUAAACUCCCCUCAAGUCAAUUCUCACUCAACAAGUACCAAUUGAUAUUUAAUCCACCACAAAGCUUAGAGGUCAAAGAGAGAAAGCAAGAAACAAAUUAAUUUGAAAACAGUACCACACAAAUGGAAUUAAAUGUGACACAACUUAGAAAGAGUUCAAAUGAAAUUAGACAAGCAAAUAAAAAGGCACUCAAAGAAAGGAUGGCACACAAAAAGGAACCUAUGGAAUAACACUAGAUUUGAUUUAAAAACCAAAAACAGCACCAUUAAAACAAAAUGUUGUGGUCCAGAAUGCGUGACUUUCACAGAUUUAUGCUGAGCUGGCUCUUUAAUAUUUGCUUCUGAAAAUUGAUACUCAAACAAAUCAAUAAACAAAUAAAUCAAGAAAAGUACUACUAAGAUUUGUUGACAACUUUUGGAAUCACAUGACUUGACAAAACUUAUAGAUUCAGAAAAUAAAAUGACUCAAACAUAUUAAUAUGAACCGAAUAGAAUUUCAAUCAAGACUCAAGCAACCUAAAAAAUCAAAAACAGCAACACAAUGUAUCAAGAAUCCUACACAAAAUUGAAAUAAGAUGCUCAAGCACAAUUUGAACAAAAACUACCGAUUGAAAUGAAUAGAGAAGCAUUCAAAUCAUAUUAAAAACAUAAAAAAACAGCAAGACAACUUGAAAUGGAGAUGAACAACUCGGAAAUAAGAAGAACUCAAGAACAAAAAUGAGAAGAGAAACUUAUCUCUUGAAGACCAUAGCUCUGAUACCAAAUGAUGGCAUUGAGGUCUCCUUUUGGUGUAUUUUGGGGUGAGAUUUGCGGAAGCUUAUGGUUGUUGAUGGAACAAGGCCUUCCUAGGAACUGUGGGUGCCUUGAAGGUGCAUGAAGAGUGUGAGGUUAGGGAGGUUCGGCCAGCACCUUUGAAGGUGUAAGGAUUGAAGACUAAAACCUAGAUGCUAGGCAAGGAGUAGAGAUUAUGGCUCAAGUUUGGCAGCAUAACAAUACUCAAUUUAAUCUUCAAAU
rnacentral:lncRNA from 1 species